UACGUAGGGGGCAAGCGUUGUCCGGAAUCAUUGGGCGUAAAGAGCGUGUAGGCGGCUCGGUAAGUCCGCUGUAAAAGUCCAGGGCUCAACCCUGGAAAGCCGGUGGAAACUGUCGAGCUAGAGUCCGGAAGAGGAGAGUGGAAUUCCCGGUGUAGCGGUGAAAUGCGCAGAUAUCGGGAAGAACACCCGUGGCGAAGGCGGCUCUCUGGGACGGUACUGACGCUGAGACGCGAAAGCGUGGGGAGCGAACAGG
rnacentral:rRNA from 1 species